UUAGACCUUAAUGAAUAUUAUUUUCCGAUAGAAAAUAAAGAUGUAAUUUAUUUGAAUUAUGGCUUUUGAGUUUUUAAGAAAAGUAUAUGAAUAAAGUUAUACAUGACUCGUUAACUUGUAUCUUAUUCACAAAUAAUUAUUUCAGUUGUGUACUUGAUGCAGCCCUUAUAAGUGCUUGCAUUAAUAAUAGGCUCGAUUCUAAUCGAGCCUUGAACCAAGCCCAAUAAAAUGGCUUGGACUCUCAUGGUAGACUUUCCACUCUUAAACCAUGAGAGUAUAAAUAUGAGUGGACCCUAAAGGUGGAGGGCAGUUGAGUUUUAUUUUAUCCAAGGUAAUUCUCAACGAGAAUUCUUUCCUUCCUUCUUUAUUUCCUUCUUUUAUUUCUUUCUAUUUUUUCUACCGAAUUUCUUUAUUCUUACCUAUUUUCAAUACACGAUUAUCCUUGGAUUAGGAUAAUCUAAUUUGAAUCAAUCGAUUUGAAGGGAACAUAAACCCUAAUCAAUUGUUUACUGUUCCAUUGCUUUGGAAACGCAAAGUCUGGACAGAAAUCGUCCAUUUGGUGCAACUGAUUUAAGGAAGUGUUCAAGGCCUUCAUCAAGUGGUAUCAGACUGGGAGGGAAUCGCGAUCUACAGUUGUCCGAAGACAUCAAUCAAAAAAAAAAAACUUUGCGAUUUGCUAUUUGGACAUCAAUCGCGAUCUACGUCUGGACGGAUUUGCGAUUUCAUUGUGCGAUCUACGCCUUCAUCAACAGAACAGUGCGAUUUCACAGAACAUUGCGAUUUGCGAUUUCACAAAACAUUGCGAUUUGCGAUUUCUGUAAUCUGCAUUUUUGUGCACGGACCUGGACGGAUUCUACAUUCUCGCGCACGGACCUGGACGGAUUUGACAACACUUGUAAUCGCGAUUUGCAGUCAGAGGGAUUCACCUUUGCGAUUUUAUUUUUGGACGGAUUUCAGCACACGUGAAGUAGUCCAGCACACGUGGAAAAAAAAGAGAGAGAAAAAGAGAGGAAAAAAAAAACUUUGCAAUUUAUUCCAGCGAAUUUUCCUGGACGGAAUUGUGAGCACACGUGAAGAAUUCCAGCAUUUAUUUCUUUACGAUUUAUUCCAGCAUUUUUAAGAUGGCCGAGAACGUCACACGUGAAGAGUUUGAGAGGUUGGCAAAAGCACUAACCGAUUUGACAACCUUUGUUAGGGACGGUUUCCAAACAAUGCAACAGAAUUUGCAACCUAUUCAGCCGCAUGGAGGAGCAGAUCCGGCAGUGAAUGGAGAGGCAGAACCGGCAUUAAACUAAAGAAGAAGAAACCCACCCACAGCUAGGGAGCGAUUGGAAGAACAGAUCCGGCAGGGGGGAAAUUUCAGGCAGCGUGACAAUUUCAGACAGGGAGGACUUUUUAAUAGACAGACUGAGGAAGAAUUUUUAGAAGAGGAAGAAGAUUUAUUACAGUACGAGAAGAAGAAAUAGAGGCCGUCGAGACUAUCCAAGAGGGGGAGCAUCACAAAGGUAUGAAGAGUACAAUGGAGGAAAUCAAAGAAAUGAAUUUGGAAAUUAUAGAUUAAGAAUGGAACUACCUGAAUUCAAUGGGCAGUUACAUAUAGAGGAAUUUUUAGAUUGGAUUUCGGAAGUAGAAAGAUUUUUUGACUGCAUGGAAAUUCCAUAUUCAAAAAAAGUGAAAUUAGUAGCACUAAAAUUUAAAAGUGGAGCUGCUGCGUGGUGGGAUCAGACCACCAUGAAUAGGGCUAGGUUUCAAAAAAGACCUAUAAGAACUUGGGACAAGUUGAAGAGAAUGCUGAAACAAAGAUUUCUCCCGGUGGAAUUUCAAACCAUUUUAUUUACAAAAUAUCAGAAAUGCAGACAAGAACAGAGGUCAGUAGCUGAUUAUACAGAGGAGUUCCAUAGGUUGGGAGCAAGAAACAACCUUAAUGAAUCUGAAGAACAACAGAUGGCGAGAUACAUUGGGGGAUUAAAAUCAACACUUCAAGAAAAAGUCAUUUUACAGUCCCCAAUGUCACUUAUGAAGACUGUAAGCAUCUCCGAACAACUAGAGAGACAAACAAACAAGUACUCAUCAUUUUCACCUGGAGCUUCAACAAGUAAACCUAUUUAUUCCAAGGACAAAGGAAUUCUUCCAACACAUGAAGGGAAAAAUACAGAUCUGAAUGAAAAAAAAUCAGGGGCCACAGACCAAGUAUGGAGCACAAUAAGAUGCUAUAAAUGCCAAGAAAUGGGCCACAAAGCUAAUAACUGCCCUAGGAGGGGGGAUCUGUAAAAUUCUGUGAAGGGUUGAGAAACAGUGAAGAUGGCAUUAAUUCAGAUGAGUCCAGUGAGGCUGCAGAAGAGUAUGACCCCGACGAAGGAUCGAGUCUAUCUUGCUUGAUCCAUAGAUCCUUUCACACUCCUAAAAUUUCUGACCAGAUUUAAAGGACAAAUUUAUUUCGCACCAAAGGAACAGUUAAAGGGAAAGUUUGUCAGAUAAUAAUAGACAAUGGAAGUACGAACAACCUAAUAUCUGAGAAGGCAGCAAAAAAGUUAGGACUCAACCUUGAGGAACAUUCUAAACCUUAUACAAUAGGAUGGAUCAAAAAUAGUGAGGGAGCAAAAAUUAGAUAUUUGUGCAAAGUCCCACUAUCCAUUGGCAAGAGAUACAACGAUACAGUAGUAUGUGAUGUAGUUGAUAUGGAUACAACACACAUACUUUUGGGCAGACCGUGGCAAUAUGAUGUAAAUGCCACUCACCAUGGGAAAUUAAACACCUAUGUUUUUCAAGCUGAUGGUAGGAAGAUUGCCCUACUAGUCUACUACCACUUCCUCCUGAGUCGACUUGCAAAAAGGCUAUAAACACAAAUUUCCUACUACAACAGAGGUCUGAUUUUUCUGAAGAACUGAGAAAUGAAGAUAUGAGGUUAGCUCUAGUAAUAAAAAGUCUGGAAAAAAAAGAGGCGGAGCAAAAAAAAUUACCAAAGGAAGUACAACAAAUUUUGAAGGAGUUUCCACUUAUCUCCUUAAAUAAUUUAGUAGUAUUACUACCACCUGAGAGAGAAAUUGACUACAGAAUAGACUUGAUUUCGGGAGCAUCUCUACCUAACCUGCCCCACUACAGAUUAGGACCUAAAGAGGCUGAAAUUCUUCAGAAGCAAGUAGAACAACUACUAGUAGAGGUCAUACCAGGCAAGGCUUGUAUGAAUGGAUGGUGAUGCCAUUUGGAUUAUCCAAUGCACCAUCAACAUUCAUGAGAUUGAUGACUGAGGUAUUGAAACCAUUGUUAGGAAACUGCGUCGUGGUGUAUUUCGAUGACAUCUUAGUAUUUAGUAAAAUUAAAGAAGCCCACAUUAAAGAUGUAAAAUCAGUUUUCGGAUUAUUAGAGAAAAAUCAGCUAAAAUUAAAUCUGAAAAAGUGCGAUUUUUUUACGUAGGAACUAUGCUUUCUAGGAUUUAUCAUUGGGAUACACGGAAUGAAAAUGGAUCCAAGAAAAACUGAAGCACUACAAAAUUGGCCAGUACCUUCUUCAGUCACUGAGGUACGUAAUUUUAUGGGCCUAGCUUCCUUUUAUAGGAGAUUUAUAAAAAAAUUCAGUUCAAUAGCUAGUCCCAUAACAAACUGUUUAAAGAACGGGAAAUUCAGAUGGACUGAUGAGGCUUCAGUCAGUUUUCAGAAAUUAAAAAAUAAACUCCAAACAGCACCAGUAUUGACUCUUCCGGAUUUUUCUAAAUUUUUUGAAGUAGAAUGUGAUACUAGCAUUUCUGGAGUAGGCGCAGUACUAAGUCAGAGUGGUCAUCCAGUAGCAUUUCACAGUGAGAAACUCACUGCAAGCAGAAAAAAUUGGACCACAUACGAGCAAGAAUUAUAUGUUGUUGUCAGAGCAUGCAAGGUGUGGGAGCCUUAUUUAAUUCAGAGAGAGUUUGUAGUCCUCAUUGACCAUAUAGCUUUGAAACAGAUAAAUGGGACUUCUGAUACUAACAGAAUGCACAGCAGAUGGUUUUCCUUUUUAUAGAGAUUCGAAUUUACAAUAAAGCAUAGAUUUGGUGCAAGUAACAAGGUAGCCGAUGCAUUGAGCAGAAAAAAUUCUUUAUUAACAGUCCUAAGAUUAGAGGUGGUAGCGUUUGAUUGUCUAAAAGAAUUAUAUCCUACUGAUGAAGAUUUCUCAAGAAUUUGGGAGGAAUGCCUUUAGAAAAAACACAAUAAGGGCUUCAGAAUUAAUGAAGGAUUCCUUUUCAGGGAAAACAGAUUAUGCAUUCCUCAGACAUCCUUGAGACUACAAUUAAUAAGGGAUUUACACUCGGGAGGAUUAGCUGACCAUUUUGGAAGAAAUAAAACAGUAGCCCAAGUAGAAAGCAGAUAUUAUUGGCCGGGAGUAAGAAAAGAAGUAGAAAAAUUUGUGCAAAGAUGUCCUAGGUGUCAAGAAGUAAAAGGCACUAGUCUGAAUAGUGGUCUUUACACCCCUUUACCAGUAGCUAAAGAACCAUGGACUGACCUCUCUAUGGAUUUUGUCCUUGGGCUACCUAAAACUAGUAAAGGGUUGGAUUUUAUUUUUGUAGUAGUCGAUAGAUUCUCGAAGAUGGUGCACUUUAUUGCUUGUAAAAAAACAAAUGAUGCUUCUCACAUUGCAAAAUUAUUCUUCAAUGAGGUUAUAAGACUUCAUAGCAUUCCAAGUAGCAUCGUAUCAGAUAGGGACACAAUUUCUAUCUCACUUUUGGAGAAUUUUAUGGAAGAGAUUUUACACAAAUCUGAAAUUCAGUUCUACAUGUCACCCACAAUCUGAUGGGCAAACAGAAGUAGUCAACAGGUCACUUGGAAAUCUAUUAAGAGCACUAGCAGGGAAACAACCAAAACAGUGGGAUCAACAUUUAGCUCAAGCGAAAUUUGCCUUUAAUUGCAUGCCAAAUAAAUCAACGGGAUGUGCACCUUUUGUAGCUGCCUAUGGCCACCUUCCAAAGAAUAUAAUGGAUGUUACCUCCACACCUUCAGUGAAUAAGAAGGUAGAAGAUAUUAUAGAAUCCAGCAAAUUAAUACACAAGCAAUUAGAAGAAUCAAUAACCAGAGCCAAUGAUCUCUACAAGGAAAGAGCUGAUAGGUCUAGAAGAUUUCAGACUUUCAAUGAAGGUGAUUUGGUAAUGGUUCACUUAAAAAAAGACAGAUAUCCAGCAGGAUCUUAUUCUAAACUGAAGGACAGAAAUUUUGGACCUUGCAAGCUACUAAAGAAGAUUUGUGACAAUGCUUUUGUAGUAGAUCUACCUCCAGAAUUCAACAUGUCAUCAACCUUCAAUGUGGCAGAUUUAAGAAGAUAUUAUCCACCUGCAGAGGAAGACAACCAAUUGAGGACAAUUGUAAUCCAAGAGGGGUCGCCUGAUGCAGCCCUUAUAAGUGCUUGCAUUAAUAAUAGGCUCGAUUCUAAUCGAGCCUUGGACCAAGCCCAAUAAAAUGGCUUGGACUCUCAUGGUAGACUUUCUACUCUUAAACUAUGAGAGUAUAAAUAUGAGUGGACCCUAAAGGUGGAGGGCAGUUGAGUUUUAUUUUAUCCAAGGUAAUUCUCAACGAGAAUUCUUUCCUUUUUUAUUUCCUUCUUUUAUUUCUUUCUAUUUUUUCUACCGAAUUUCUUUAUUCUUACCUAUUUUCAAUACACGAUUAUCCUUGGAUUAGGAUAAUCUAAUUUGAAUCAAUCGAUUUGAAGGGAACAUAAACCCUAAUCAAUUGUUUACUGUUCCGUUGCUUUGGAAACGCAAAGUCUGGACAGAAAUCGUCCAUUUGGUGCAGUUGUUUACUGUUCCGUUGAAUCAACUGAUUUAAGGAAGUGUUCAAGGCCUUCAUCAGUACUUGUGUGAAAUUGUUAAUGCAUUCUUCAACAAAUAAUAAAAUAAAAUAUAUUAAAUUUAAAUUUGGGUUUGCUUAAUUGUUGAAUAAAACUAAUUAAUAAAUUAAAUAAUUUUUGUUUCUUUUAGAAAUAUUUUUAUUUAAAGGGUAAAUUUUUCAUUUUUCAUAAAUGAAACGGUAUGCUGACUAGAAGUAAAAACUAUUAUCACAAUAAGAUACAUCUAUAUCAAUGAACAAACAGAAAGACUCAUUGCUUCUCUACCGUCCUUCAUUUUUAAUGAGAAAAUUUAAUUUCAUCAAAAAAAGAAGACUUGUACUCUAGUAGAUAGUUACUGUAUUGUAGAAUCCUGCUAAAAAACCAAAGAAAGUAUUUCUAUAUAGUCCAUACUCCAUAGAGUUGUAGACUAUUUAAAUAUGCCAAGGUUGCAAAAAACUCUGGCAUCAGUAUGAAUUUUUCUUAAAAAAAUGCUAGAUCAUCUCUCCAAGUGUAAAAUCUAGAACUUUCUUCUUUGGGAAGUUCACUUCAAUAUCCUGAAAUACUGAUACUGUCUGAUGGUACUGCCUGGGAAUCUAGUCACCAUCCUAGUAUUUCAACAAGUACCAACAAUGUAACACAGUCUGUCCAGGCUGCAGAUUUGUUGGGGAUAUGGACAGGCAAAGGAUAAAUAAUUAAUAUCUUCACUCUCUCAGCUUCUCUGGUCUUAUAUAUUGGAGCCUUGUGAGUUGGGUAUUAUAUACUAGUUAAAGCUUCCUCCACCUUGCUUAAAAAAAAAAGAAGCUUCCUCCACCUAAUCCUCCAGAGUCCAAUCAGCUUUCUCCCUCACUCUCUCCAAGCUGAAGAGAGGUUUUUGAGUCCAAUCUUUUUGAAGACUGAUCAUGCUAUUGCUGAAUUCAGCUUGAUUGCUCUUUUCAUAUGAUCUUUUCUUUUAGAAAUAUUUCAAGAGAAGUGAUAGCUAGUUGAUUCACUUGAAGCCUUCUUGAUAAAUGAUAAUACACAGUAAUUUUUUUUAGUUUGUAAAACAAUC
rnacentral:lncRNA from 1 species